CUCCUGCGGUCCAGGCUCCUGUUGUUACCCCCUCUGCUCCUCCUGCACAGACCAAAGUAGAGGAUUUAUCAGCUCUGGAUCAACUUUCUGCAGAUUUUGUGGCUCCAACUAAAUCAUCUGUAGUUCAGGCUGGUGUCCCUACUUCUACCAAGAAGACACAACAGAAAACAGUUUGUCCUCUGGAGCAGUCUAGCUCAGCUGAUGUCCUUCCUGGACAACCACGGAAAGCAACAUCCGCGCCUGAUAAGGCAACUGUGAGG